rnacentral:misc_RNA from 1 species
AAGUCGUAACAAGGUAUCCGUAGGUGAACCUGCGGAUGGAUCAUUAAAAAAGAUUUCAACAAGUCUUGUGAACUGUUUUGAGUUGAGUGUGUGUUUUACUAACUUCAACGUUGGUCACUCAUUUACUCACUUUACACGUAUAUAACCUUAAACUAACGUCUACUUUAGUAGUAAAUCAAUCUAAAGACAACUUUUAGCAACGGAUCUCUAGGCUCUC